rnacentral:lncRNA from 1 species
GGUAAGUUUAGGAGCUUAGAAAGUCCCACAGAGGCCAGCCCUGUGGGAAAAUCAUCUCUGCUGGCCAGGGGUCUGGGAAAUACACAUUUAUUUAUUGAAUGUACGCUCAGCAUGUGGUUCAUGGGUAUCAAACCUCAGCCGACUGCCAGAAUUAAACUUGUAUGUUUUCUUUCGCAACAACAGAUUUUUUUUUUUAAAUGCAUGCAUGUCUGUGCACUACUGGUGUGCCUGAAGCCCUGUGUGGCCUGGAGAGGGGUGGGAUCUGCUGGAGGCACAGGGAGUGUGAGCCGCCUCGGGUGGGUGCUGGGAAAGAAUUCAAGUGCUUCACAGGAGCAGCGGGUGCCCUCAGUAGCUGAGCUCUCUCCAGCCCUACUAGCAAGGAUUUCAAAUCCUUUUCUGGGGGUGGGGGGGUCAUUUGGAGAAAUGGGCCAACUGUCAAGAACACUUGCAGAGGACCCAGAUGGGGACUCACAACCAGCUAUAACUGUAGUUCGAGGGCAUCUGACACCCUCUUCUGACCCCCUCAGAUGUUCACUGUGCCCCCCCCACCACAAAUAAAAUAAAUACAUUUAAUCCC